CGUACACUCCUGCGGGAGGCAGCAGUGGGGAAUAUUGGACAAUGGGCGCAAGCCUGAUCCAGCCAUGCCGCGUGAGUGAUGAAGGCCCUAGGGUUGUAAAGCUCUUUCACCGGUGAAGAUAAUGACGGUAACCGGAGAAGAAGCCCCGGCUAACUUCGUGCCAGCAGCCGCGGUAAUACGAAGGGGGCUAGCGUUGUUCGGAUUUACUGGGCGUAAAGCGCACGUAGGCGGACUAUUAAGUCAGGGGUGAAAUCCCGGGGCUCAACCCCGGAACUGCCUUUGAUACUGGUAGUCUUGAGUUCGGGAGAGGUGAGUGGAAUUCCGAGUGUAGAGGUGAAAUUCGUAGAUAUUCGGAGGAACACCAGUGGCGAAGGCGGCUCACUGGCUCGAUACUGACGCUGAGGUGCGAAAGCGUGGGGAGCAAACAGGAUUAGAAACCCCAGUAGUCCCA
rnacentral:rRNA from 1 species